GAUGAACGCUGGCGGCGUGCUUAACACAUGCAAGUCGAACGGGAAAACUUUUAUUUAAGCUUCGGCAUCUUUAGCUGGUUUCUAGUGGCGGACGGGUGAGUAACGCGUGGGUAACCUGCCUUAUACAGGGGGAUAACAGUCAGAAAUGGCUGCUAAUACCGCAUAAGAGCACAGAGCUGCAUGGCUCAGUGUUAAAAACUCCGGUGGUAUAAGAUGGACCCGCGUUGGAUUUGCUGGUUGGUGGGGUAAAGGCCCACCAAGGCGACGAUCCAUAGCCGGGCGGAGAGGGGGAACCGCCACAGUGGGACUGAGACACAGCCCCGAAGCCGACGGGUGGGAGGAGUGGAGAAUAUUGCACAAUGGGGGAAACCCUGAUGCAGCGACGCCGCGUGAAGGAAGAAGUAUCUCGGUAUGUAAACUUCUAUCAGCAGGGAAGAUAAUGACGGUACCUGACUAAGAAGCCCCGGCUAACUACGUG
rnacentral:rRNA from 1 species